rnacentral:rRNA from 1 species
CCCUUAGAUGUCCGGGGCCGCACGCGCGCUACACUGAAGGAAUCAGCGUGGCUUUCUCCCUGACCCGAAAGGGUUGGGAAACCCGUUGAAUCUCCUGCGUGAUAGGGAUUGGGGCUUGAAAUUGUUCCCCAUGAACGAGGAAUUCCCAGUAAGCGCGAGUCAUAAGCUCGCGUUGAUUACGUCCCUGCCCUUUGUACACACCGCCCGUCGCUACUACCGAUUGAACGGUUUAGUGAGGGCCUCGGAUUGGUCUCGGCCCGCUCUUUACCGGGCGGCGCCGUUGGUCGAGAAGACGCUCGAACUUGAUCGUUUAGAGGAAGUAAAAGUCGUAACA